GAUGAACGCUGGCGGCGUGCCUAAUACAUGCAAGUCGAGCGAACAGACGAGGAGCUUGCUCCUCUGACGUUAGCGGCGGACGGGUGAGUAACACGUGGAUAACCUACCUAUAAGACUGGGAUAACUUCGGGAAACCGGAGCUAAUACCGGAUAAUAUAUUGAACCGCAUGGUUCAAUAGUGAAAGGCGGUUUUGCUGUCACUUAUAGAUGGAUCCGCGCCGCAUUAGCUAGUUGGUAAGGUAACGGCUUACCAAGGCAACGAUGCGUAGCCGACCUGAGAGGGUGAUCGGCCACACUGGAACUGAGCCACGGUCCAGACUCCUACGGGAGGCAGCAGUAGGGAAUCGUCCGCAAUGGGCGAAAGCCUGACGGAGCAACGCCGCGUGAGUGAUGAAGGUCUUCGGAUCGUAAAACUCUGUUAUUAGGGAAGAACAAAUGUGUAAGUAACUAUGCACGUCUUGACGGUACCUAAUCAGAAAGCCACGGCUAACUACGUG
rnacentral:rRNA from 1 species